rnacentral:rRNA from 1 species
CUUAGAGUUUGAUCCUGGCUCAGAACGAACGCUUGCGGCAGGCUUAACACAUGCAAGUCGAACGCCCCUUUCGGGGGGAGUGGCAGACGGGUGAGUAACACGUGGGAACGUACCUCUUUGUUCGGAAUAACUCAUGGAAACGUGAGCUAAUACCGGAUACGCCCUUUUGGGGAAAGAUUUAUCGCAGAGAGAUCGGCCCGCGUCUGAUUAGCUAGUUGGUGAGGUAAUGGCUCACCAAGGCGACGAUCAGUAGCUGGUCUGAGAGGAUGAUCAGCCACACUGGGACUGAGACACGGCCCAGACUCCUACGGGAGGCAGCAGUGGGGAAUAUUGGACAAUGGGGGCAACCCUGAUCCAGCCAUGCCGCGUGAGUGAUGAAGGCCUUAGGGUUGUAAAGCUCUUUUAUCCGGGAAGAUAAUGACUGUACCGGAAGAAUAAGCCCCGGCUAACUUCGUGCCAGCAGCCGCGGUAAUACGAAGGGGGCUAGCGUUGUUCGGAAUCACUGGGCGUAAAGGGCGCGUAGGCGGACGAUUAAGUCAGGGGUGAAAUCCCGGGGCUCAACCUCGGAAUUGCCCUUGAUACUGGUUGUCUUGAGAUUGGAAGAGGUAAGUGGAAUUGCGAGUGUAGAGGUGAAAUUCGUAGAUAUUCGCAAGAACACCGGUGGCGAAGGCGACUUACUGGUCCAUAUCUGACGCUGAGGCGCGAAAGCGUGGGGAGCAAACAGGAUUAGAUACCCUGGUAGUCCACGCCGUAAACGAUGGAUGCCAGCUGUUGGGGGAGCAUGCUCUUCAGUGGCGC